rnacentral:tRNA from 1 species
GGUCCCGUAGCUCAGCUGGAUAGAGCAACGGCCUUCUAAGCCGUAGGUCCCAGGUUCGAAUCCUGGCGGGAUCACCA